rnacentral:rRNA from 1 species
GACGAACGCUGGCGGCGUGCUUAACACAUGCAAGUCGAACGAAGUGGCGAACGGGUGAGUAACGCGUAAUCAACCUGCCCUUCAGGGGGGGACAACAGUUGGAAACGACUGCUAAUACCGCAUACUGAAGGAGGGGUUUGCGGCUGAUUAGCUAGUGGGGGGGGUAAUGGACCAACAAGGCGAUGAUCAGUAGCCGGGCUGGUAGGGUGAACGGCCCCAACGGGACUGGGAAACGGUCCAGACUCCCACGGGAGGCCGGAGGGGGGGAUUAUCGGCAAUGGGCGGAAGUCUGACGGAGCAACGCCGCGUGGGUGAUGGCGGGCUUCGGGUUGUAAAGGUAUGUUAAGCGGGACGCGGUACCGGAAUAGAAAGCCACGGCUAACUCCGUGCCAGCAGCCGCGGUAAUAC